rnacentral:rRNA from 1 species
UACGUAGGUGGCAAGCGUUGUCCGGAUUUACUGGGCGUAAAGAGCGCGCAGGCGGCUGGUCAAGUCCGAUGUGAAAUCCCCCGGCUUAACUGGGAAACUGCAUCGGAAACUGAUCGGCUUGAAGGUGGGAGAGGGCAGUGGAAUUCCCGGUGUAGUGGUGAAAUGCGCAGAUAUCAGGAGGAACACCGAUGGCGAAGGCAGCUCGCUGGGACGGUACUGACGCUGAGGCGCGAAAGCGUGGGGAGCAAACAGG